AGACCCUACGGGGCGCAGCAGUGAGGAAUAUUGGUCAAUGGGAGAGAUCCUGGACCAGCCAAGCCGCGUGAGGGAAGACGGCCCUAUGGGCUGUAAACCUCUUUUGUCGGAGAACAAAACCCGGGACGAGUCCCGGACUGCGUGUAUCCGAAGAAAAAGCAUCGGCUAACUCCGUGCCAGCAGCCACGGUAAUACGGAGGAUGCGAGCGUUAUCCGGAUUUAUUGGGUUUAAAGGGUGCGUAGGCGGUCCGUUAAGUCAGCGGUAAAAUUGCGGGGCUCAACCCCGUCGAGCCGUUGAAACUGGG
rnacentral:rRNA from 1 species